UACGUAGGGUGCGAGCGUUGUCCGGAAUUAUUGGGCGUAAAGAGCUCGUAGGCGGUCUGUCACGUCGAUCGUGAAAACUUGGGGCUUAACCCUGAGCUUGCGGUCGAUACGGGCAUGACUGGAGUUCGGCAGGGGAGACUGGAAUUCCUGGUGUAGCGGUGGAAUGCGCAGAUAUCAGGAGGAACACCGGUGGCGAAGGCGGGUCUCUGGGCAGUAACUGACGCUGAGGAGCGAAAGCGUGGGGAGCGAACAGG
rnacentral:rRNA from 1 species